rnacentral:tRNA from 1 species
UCCAUUGUAGUCUAGUUGGUCAAGAUACUCGGAUCUCACCCGAGAGACCCAGGUUCAAUUUCUGACAACAAAA